rnacentral:rRNA from 1 species
UACGAAGGGUGCAAGCGUUAAUCGGAAUUACUGGGCGUAAAGCGCGCGUAGGUGGUUCGUUAAGUUAGGAGUGAAAGCCCCGGGCUCAACCUGGGAAUUGCUUCUAAAACUGGCGAGCUAGAGUAUGGUAGAGGGUGGUGGAAUUUCCUGUGUAGCGGUGAAAUGCGUAGAUAUAGGAAGGAACAUCAGUGGCGAAGGCGGGUAACUGGACUGCAACUGACGCUGAGGCGCGAAAGUUGUGGGGAGCAAACAGGAUUAGAUACCCCGGUAGUCCCUGAGCGGG